GUUACUCAGGGGAUUAGCCUUUCCCGAAAAGGGGAGAUUAAUACCUGAUGGUGUUUGAAGUUCGCAUGUUCUUCAAACUAAAGAUUUAUCGGUAACGGAUAGGGGAUGCGUGACAUUAGAUAGUAGGCGGGGUAACGGCCCACCUAGUCUACGAUGUCUAGGGGUUCUGAGAGGAAGGUCCCCCACACUGGAACUGAGUCACGGUCCAGACUCCUACGGGAGGCAGCAGUGAGGAAUAUUGGUCAAUGGGCGAGAGCCUGAACCAGCCAAGUAGCGGUGAAGGAAGACUGCCCUAUGGGUUGUAAACUGCUUUUAUGCGGGAAUAAGAUCAGAUACGUGUAUCUGCGUGCAUGUACCGCAUGAAUAAGGACCGGCUAAUUCCGUG
rnacentral:rRNA from 1 species